GGGUAUAGCUCAGUGGUAGAGCAAUGCUUAGCAUACAUGAGGUCCUGGGUUCAAUUCCCAGCACCUCCA
rnacentral:tRNA from 1 species